GUGACCGUGUAUUCAGAUCUGAAUGAUUUAAUCCUGGCCAUUGAUACCGGAAAAUGACUUUGACCCGAUUUUUUUUAAAUACACGCGGAUCCUCCUCCAUUAGGUCAAAUGUUUUGUUAAAGAACAACUAAAAAGUAAAUCCUAGCCUCUCAUUUCAUUUUAAUUUUUUUUUCAGCCUCCCUUUUCAAACUCAAUCAGCGAAGAGCGAUGAAAGUUUUAGAAAAAAGGUUAAUGAAUAUGGUAGUUUCUUGGGUGG